GUCUGCGUUAAACCAGCCAGGAGGCAGGCUCAGGAGAAGUGGAAGCCACGGCUUGAGCCCAGGUGGCCUGGCUGCAGAAUCCAACCUGCCGCCCGCUCUGCCCACAGCCCUUCUGCGGCAGCGCCUCUUGGGCCCUCUCCAGCCGGGCCUCGCUAAGUCAAGAGCAUCUUUGCCAGGCUGGGCUCAAAUGCACAAUAUUCCUAUCUCGGCCUCUGAGAGGUGCCAGCCUGCGCCACCACCCCGGGCUAAGACUCCCCACGGAGCAGCUGGGCGCGUCGUGGCUAAGACAGCAAAGAAAGUAGGGAGCAGGAGCCGAGAUUUAGAGGUGAAACCAGGAGUUCGUUUCUACAAGUGCCGCUGGUGAUCUGGAACACCUUACGGAAUGAAGAAGUCUGCAGCAAAGCACCACGGCCGCCCUGCAGGGCCUGCGGGGACACUCUUGGCCCUCCUUGCGUGGACAAGGGCCCCUGCUCUUUGAGCAGUCUACGCAGUAGCAAAGGCGGGGGUCUGAGGCAUGGGUCUCCCGGCCUCCAGCCGUGAGUGCUUAGGAAAUAGUGUCACAUCUCUGAGCCCUGCUAUGGUCAGCCGAGAAGCAGGGGCCGACUCCUGACUACAGGCCUGUCACAGGAGCUGAGCAGCCCUGAAUGUGAAAGACCACGCUCUGAACCCAAGGACCCUCUACCAUUGAAAUACAUCCCCAGCCUUUUCAGUCCUUUUAAAAAAUUUAUUUAUUUACUCAUUUAUUUUGACAGGCCUUGCUAAGUUACCUAGGUUAGCUUUGAACUUUUGGUCCUCCUGUCUCAGCCUCCAGAGUAGCUGAUAUUGCCAGUGUGCCGUGUGCGCCACCACACCCAGCAGCUGAACAGCUUUGCUCUGCCAUGUGCACUCCAUGCAGUGCUGCCUCAUCACGGGCCCAAAACAACGAAGCUGCCAACCAUGAACUGCACCCUUGCAAACUGUGAGCCAAAGUGAAACUUUCCCCUUUGUAAGUUAACUAUCUCAGGUAUUUUGAAACAGGAAUGGAAUGCUAACAACGCAAGGAUCCACCUCUCUCCCACUCCAUAGCCUUGACAGCUACCAUCACCUCGCUCUGUCUUCCAAGCAGAGCUGUGUCCCUCUCCUUCCUGUCAUCCCCUAGGCCUGCCUCACCACUGCUUUCUGUUUCAAGUCAACUCAUUCCUCCUCCAGGAAACUUUCCAAGGUAGCACCCAUCCUGUAUUGCAGUGACCCUGCCACUCUGUGAACUCUGGCUUCAUAAGAUUUGUUUCUGUGCUCCCAAAGGGAAUUUUUUAAAACUAUGUAAUGCUUUGCACAUUUUUCAAGUUGACUGCUAAGAUUUUUCAUCAGUUUUAAAUCAUUACAAGGAGUAUAAUUUCUUUUUUUUUUUUCCUUUUUUUUGGUCCCGGGGAUCAAACUAGGGACUUGCACUUGCAAGGCAGGCAGGAGAACCACCAAGCUAAAUCCACAGCCCCAAAGAGUAUAAUUUCUAAAGUGUUUUAGAUACUGCAACAUUUUGAAAUGAAACUAUUAAAGCAGAGCUGGGGAUUUAGCUCAGUGGCACUGUGCUUGCCUGGCAAGCACAAGGUCCUCAGUUCGAUCCCCUAUACAAAAAAAUUAAUGAAUAAAUAAAAUAAAUAAAUAAAACUAUUAAGG
rnacentral:lncRNA from 1 species